ACAUUACACUUGUGUUAACUGUAUUAGGAGAGAAAUUAACUGUUUAGAUUUUGAAUAAAUGCAGUAGUGCAAAAAUUGUUGCCAAAUUGACAAUUUGAUUCAAAGUUUUCCGAGUUAAGAAGCUCCAUAAAGUGACACAACAGCCAGCUAGCCAGUCAUGCUCAGAGACCCCGCUGUAAGUUGGA